CAGCCGCCACGGUAAUACGUAGGUGGCAAGCGUUGUCCGGAUUUACUGGGCGUAAAGCGUGCGUAGGCGGCUUUUUAAGUCGGAUGUGAAAUCCCCGAGCUUAACUUGGGAAUUGCAUUCGAUACUGGGAAGCUAGAGUAUGGGAGAGGAUGGUAGAAUUCCAGGUGUAGCGGUGAAAUGCGUAGAGAUCUGGAGGAAUACCGGUGGCGAAGGCAGCCAUCUGGCCUAAUACUGACGCUGAGGUACGAAAGCAUGGGGAGCAAACAGGAUUAGAUACCCCCGUAGUCCCUGUCUCUUAUAU
rnacentral:rRNA from 1 species